CAUAAUUUGAAAAUUAUUAUGACACAGUUAUAAAGUAAAUAUGCAGUAAUUAGGUAAUAAAUUGAUGUGAACUAGGAAAAUGUUAAUACUUCAUCAAGAACUUUGAUUAUUAGCAAUCUGAACUCUGGCGCACUACCCAAAAACCUAAAGUUAAGGAAAAAAAGACUAUAGUUAACAAACAAAAUUGAGCCCAUUUACUUAAAUCAGUAGAAAUUAUCAUUUUCAUGUAUUUUUACUGUCAGUUUACAUAGCCUCAGUAAGUUUUAGUGGUCUGGUUUCUGAAUCCAUAACAGAUUGUUGUUGGGGAAUUUAUGCUUAAGCAAACACACUGACAAUAUCAGGAAGCAGUGGCUGAUAGUUUUCAGGCAAGUGAGGACCCUGAAAAUCUACAAAAAUUGAAUACAAGAAUUCAAAUAGAACAGCUGACUCCUGGUCCUCAUUGCAAGGACAAAAGGCUGACACACUGCUAGACCUGUAGCAGCAUAUGUUAUUCUUACUGAUGACCUGAGAUGACAAAUAUUAAUUAUAUUUAAUAUGUUUAUUUGAUGAAACAAGCAAUGUGAUUUUUAAAUUUCGCAUCAAAGAUGAUUAAAACUCUAGCUUUUAUGUAUGAAGGAGUAUGCUCUCAGUUAUUUAGAAAUCUCAGCCUUCUCAUAAACUCAGAAGUACUUAUACUUUGAAGGUUUCUAUAUCCAUAGGUUUAAUUGAAAUUUUGGCUAAUGAAAGGUAAAUAUGUUGUAUUGAGAAAGAGCAUAAAAUUAUGUGGGCUUGCCAGUUAGUCUCUUUAUGUCACAUUUGAACUUAGCUUAUAUUAUUUAUUAUUCUUUCUUAAUGCCAGAACAACAGGUAUUUGAACAUUUUAACUGCUUUUAAAUAUAUUUUUAGAUGUGUGAUAUUGUCAUAGUAAGUAACGUACUGUUGGUCCUAUUGGUCCUAUUUGAUUUUAUCUAUUCCUGUAGCUAGAACUGUCAUAGUAAGCAUUUUUUAAAGUCUUGAAUCUACAAGGUUUUUGGAAAAGUACAUAAGCUUAUUUUAUUCAUAAGGAGAAAGUUGUAGAGGAAGAAAUGCAUAAACUUAGGACAUUCAAUUGUGUUUUAAACUUCUUUAUAUCUGAGUAACUUAAUUAAGUUGCUUAACUUUUCUGCAACUCUUGAUUCCCCAAAUGAGUUUUUGGAAGAUUGGAUUUUUGUAUCAUAAUAUGAAAUUUCUGCUAAAAAUGUAGAUUUACAGUCCCUUUUAUUAUGAUGGUUUCUUAAAGUCGAUUGUUUUUCUUUGUGUGUUGUUUAUGUAAGAAGAGCUUCUUCCCCCCUUUUUCCUAAAAGGUUAUUGAAUAGUAGUUUUUAACUUUAAUCAAGUAAUAUAUGUUCUGUAAAUUUUCCCCUUGGUUUCUUAAUUGCAGAUUUCUUGACAUUUGAAGUUUUAAAUCAGUGAAAGAUAAACAAUAAAGAAAAUCUGACAGAUUGGUUGAGAAAGUAUUAUUGUUUAAUUUUUUUUAAACUAUGAAAUGAGGAAUGCAAUCCCUUCUAUAAGAUGUAUACUCUUUGUUAUUUGUUGUUAAAUUUUGGUCUUGUUAUUCCAACUGAUGCAAAAUUCUUUUUACAAAGCACUGAAAUAAUACAGAUUUUUCUUCAUUGUCAGCAGGAUGAGAUUGUCUGAAACGAAGAAUAGGUGUGAUGAAUGCAGACUCUGCUACCAUUUUGGCUGUUUGGAUCCUCCUUUGAAAAAGUCUCCUAAACAGACAGGCUACGGAUGGAUAUGUCAGGAAUGUGAUUCUUCAUCUUCCAAGGAAGAUGAAAAUGAAGCUGAAAGAAAAAAUAUAUCUCAGGAGCUCAACAUGGAACAGAAAAAUCCAAAGAAAUAAAAGAUUUUCUGUAGUGUUUUUGAAAAGUUUGCAGCUUAUGUAAUAGCAGAUAAAAUUUCUAAUUGUAAAAUGUUAAAUUGUAAAAUCUAAUUUGCAAAAUGUUCUCAAUAAAGUCAUUCAAAAUGAAAUAGGA
rnacentral:sRNA from 1 species